ensembl:lncRNA novel transcript
AUCCCAGGAUGGUGAUACUCGGGUUACAGGCUCACAGGCAGAAGGGACUUGGCCUUUCUCAGAUGAGACUUUGGACUGUGGACUUCAGAGGAAUAGGAAUUUUAGCUAGGCACAUGGACAUCAAGUUGAAGAUUACUUUCUUGGACUGGAAGGAAGCAAUAUACGCUAUUUCAGAGUUAUGUGGUUUACGAGAAAAGGGGCAGGUUCUUCCUAUUCUUUCCCUAUUGUAAUUUUGUUGGAGUAUGGAUGUAAUGGUGGGGGUUAGAACAGCCAUCUCAGACCUGAGAUAAGACCUGCAUGAGGAAGCUGGCAAAGCCAUAAACUGGCAGGGCCUGUAUUAUUUGAUGUCAUGAAACAGAUUGCUUCCACUUGGAAAGGGUUAUAUAUUUGCCGUUUGCCUGAGCCACUGCUAUUUUUUCAUUUUUUGUAACAGCCACACCACACCCUAAAAAAUACAACAUCUAAAUCAUUUCAAGAAAAUAUCCAAAUCUUAGUGAAAGAAAGAUUUUUGGGGACCAAAUUAGCCAAAGUUACUGUCUGACUUGAACAUGUUAAUAGUAGAUCAGCGCCGUCCAACAGAACGUUCUGAGAUGAUAUAAAUGUUUUCCAUUAUCCAAUUCAGCAGCUAUUAGCCACGUAUAGAUAUUGGACAUGUAUAUAUGAUAAGUUAUAUUAGAUUCUGCUAUUGAGUUUUCCAAAUUGUGCAAAUUUGCCUCCCCAUUUGCAGUUUAUGAAAUUUCCAUUGUUCCUCCUGCACUCCAAUUCUUAGUUAGUACUUUUAAUUUUAGCCACUUUGGUAAGUGUGUUGUUUUAUUUUAGUUUUAGCUUGUAAAUUUCCCUUAUCACUAAUAGUCUUAGCAUAUUUUCUUAUGUUUAAUUGGCUGUUUGGGCGUCCUUUUUUAAAAAUUGCUUGUUAACACCUCUUGUUCAUUUUUCUACUGUUUUUCUUUUUCUCAUUCCUUUACAGAAUUAAAAAUGAAUUCUGAAUAUAAUUCCCUUUGUCAUUUAUAUGUGUUACAAACUUACUGUUCUAGUCUAAGACUUUUCUGUUUGGUCUCUUGAUGGUGUCUUAAUAAACAGAAAUUGUUAAUUUUAUUGUAAUCUAAUUUAUAAAUUUCCCCUUUAUUCAUGUAUCUUGCAU